rnacentral:lncRNA from 1 species
GGAUCUGGAUGGUGGUGCAUCAGCUGGAUCUUGAGCAUUACCAAUGUAACCCUGGGGAUGGCCAGAUGGUCUUAGAUUGGCCGCACCAACCGCGUUUGUAUGAUACUGAUCCAUCAUCCCAGGUGUUUGCUGCUUGUAAUGUUGCUGCCUAGCUUGUGAUUCUUUCCUCAUGAUCUCUUCUCUUUUACCUGCGUGGCGUGAUCUCAGUGCAGCUAACUGUUCUUCGUACCGAGUAUUAAUGGUGUUUAUUCUCUGUAUACAGAGAGUUUAAAAAGACUUCAGGUCAACUAACUUAAACCAAAACUAGAGUAGUUCAGUAGCAGAGCUUUUGUUCCUAACCUCUCGAUGUCUGGCAAUCUCUGCAUCCUCUGCUCCCAUUUGAUCUUUUGCUAGUCUUGUUAUAUCAUCCAUGAACUUCUGUUCAAUGCCUUCAAAGGUCUGCAUCCCACGGUUAUUCUCAUAGCCAGGCUUCGUGUUUUCAUGGUGCUGUGGUUGAGCUCUUGGACCGCUGCCUUGUGUCUCCAUUCCUGAUUUUGGAUCCAUUUGGCCGCGGUAAUAUGUCCUUGAUGAAUCAACGCCUUGACCUGCAUGAACACAAAGCUGGAAUCAAGAGAUAAACCCUAAAGCCUGAGAUACAGUCGAUGCAGGAGGAACUACAAAAGGAUAUGGUUUUUAAAAGUAUCUCCACCAAAAACAAAUAUGCAACUAACACUCCUCAACAAUUUAUACAAAACUUGUUGUAUAUGUCCAUUGCCUGAUACAUACAAUGCAUCAACUUAUAAAUGGAUUUUCAAAUUCACCAAAAAUUCUAAAACAACAAUAUCAUUGCCUACGAGACUUUAAAGCAACCCCUACCAAUAAGUAAAGAGACGUACUUUCAUUGUAAACAGCAGUUGACAUAGGCCUUGACAUAUUCGGGGGACCAUCUCUUUCCCAUCUCCAUUGACCCUCUGGUUGAGAUGGUUGGUCCCUCUCAGGCGUGAAGGCCUCUAGCUGACCUUGAAAAUCAGAAUGUGCAUUCUGUAUCUGCCCAGCUCCGUAUCCACUAGCAGGCGAGUCCGAAUUACGGCAAGAUUUAUGGUUUUGCCUCAUAGACAUUGAUUAAAUUGAAUUGAAUUGCAUGCUGAGUCACGUAUCACCCAAAUAACUCAGAUAUGGAUAAUGAACUUAUACUACUUGACAAAGUAAUCAAUAAAGUAGCUUUAGUCACCAUCUUUUGGAUCUGAUAUUAUUACUAUCACAUGAUGCGUCUUUUAAGAAGGUUAAAAAGACAACUUAUGACGUAUGUGUAUAUAAGAAUAACAAUGUGUCAUUGUAGUCAAUUUCAAAGUCUGGAUAGUCUUGAAAGCUUAACUGAUCUAUAAUUCAAAAAAAGCAAAGUAACACAACAGGUAUAUUACAUCAGUAGAACCGUGAGACUGUCCCACCAGGGUACUGACCCCUGGACUCGAAUCCAUGAUCCCUCUCUCCGCCCUGAAACCUAGCUCUCUCUCCAUAUGCUUCAAACCGAUCUGAUCCAUAGGAUCUGGAUGGUGGUGCAUCAGCUGGAUCUUGAGCAUUACCAAUGUAACCCUGGGGAUGGCCAGAUGGUCUUAGAUUGGCCGCACCAACCGCGUUUGUAUGAUACUGAUCCAUCAUCCCAGGUGUUUGCUGCUUGUAAUGUUGCUGCCUAGCUUGUGAUUCUUUCCUCAUGAUCUCUUCUCUUUUACCUGCGUGGCGUGAUCUCAGUGCAGCUAACUGUUCUUCGUACCGAGUAUUAAUGGUGUUU